CAUCGUAUAAUGGCUAUUACCUCAGCCUUCCAAGCUGAUGAUGCGGGUUCGAUUCCCGCUGACGCUCCA
rnacentral:tRNA from 3 species